GUCUAUGGUCAUGCUACCCUGAACAAGCCCAAUCCCAUCUGAUCUCGGAAGCAAAGCAAGGUCUGGCCUGGUUAGUACAUGGAUGAGAGACCACCUAGCAAGACCAGGUCCUAUAGGCA
rnacentral:rRNA from 1 species